GAUGAACGCUGACGGCAAGCUUAACACAUGCAAGUCAACUGUGGCAGACGGGCGAGUAACGCGUAAAGAACUUGCCUCACAGCUAGGAACAACAUUGGGAAAGGAGUGCUAAUACCGGAAACUGUGAGAGAGCUUUGCGUCCCAUUAGCUAGUUGGAGAGGUAACGGCUCACCAAGGCGAUGAUGAGUAGCCGGCCUGAGAGGGUGACCGGCCCCAAGGGGACUGAGACACGGCCCUUACUCAUACGGGAGGCAGCAGUGGGGAAUAUUUGACAAUGGGCCAAAGUCUGAUCCAGCAAUUCUGUGUGCACGAUAAUGUUUUCGGAAUGUAAAGUGCUUUCAGUUUGGAAGCGGUACCAACAGAAGAAGUAACGGCUAAAUACGUGCCAGCAGCCGCGGUAAUGC
rnacentral:rRNA from 1 species